AGCAGAGGGAGGGUGAAGAGCCCACGCCAGUGGAAAACAAGGUUUUGUUUGCUGGCACAGCUGCACCAAAGGCUAAAGGCAAGUCUGAUGGCCAGGAGCAGGGGGGCAAGCUGCAAAGCCCACGCCAGUGGAAAACAAGGUUUUGUUUGCUGGCACAGCCUCACCAAAGGCUAAAGGCAAGUCUGAUGGCCAGGAGCAGGGGGCAAGCUGCAAAGCCCACGCCGGUGGAAAACAAGGUUUUGCUUGCUGCAAAGGCUGCUCCAAAAGCCAAGGCCAGGUUUGUUGUUGAUUCCGGCUGUACCCGCCAUGUCUCAAAGGACCGCCACCUAUUUAUCUCCUUCAAACCUCAAGAAGGUGAGAUCCACCUGGCUGACGGAAAGACGUUGCGAAUUGCGGGAGAAGGGACUGUGAAACUGGCAAGUCUGCACACAACCAUCAAAGAUGUACUGUAUGUUCCAGGCGCUGCAGACAAUUUGCUCAGUGUCCCACAGUUGACUGGGCGUGGUUUUGAGAUUUCCUUCAAGAGGAGCGUCUGUGUCAUCAGAAAAGGCAAAGAGGACAUUUUGCAUGCAAAGUUUAUGGAUGGUUUGUUCUGUAUAACUUAUGAUGACAAUGGUGCUAUUGUGUCUAAUGUUGAUUCUUGUUGUGUUGCACAAACUAACAAAGUUCUUCAUGCAGGAUGCAUUCAUGAUGCACACAGAAGAUUUUGUCACAUGUCUUGGCAGGCGCUGGCCAAGAUGCCAGAGAUGGUUGAGGGUUUGAACAUCAAACCCUGUAAGUUUCACAUGAAAUGUGUAUCUUGUGCAGAGAACAAGGUGAAGGUUGCUCCAAAAGGCAAGGAGUCUAGCAGGCAGGCUUCCAAACCCUACCAGCUAGUGCACGCAGACCUGGUUGGUCCACUUGCGCCCUCUUUGGGUGGAGCAAGGUACUUCAUGGUUCUAAUUGAUUCUUUUUCCAGGUACAUUCAUGUGUUUAUGCUCGAGCAGAAAUCGCAAGCGUUUCCUAAGUUCAAGGCAUUCUGUGCUUGGUUGGAGAAUGUUCACGGUAAACGUAUUGGCUGUCUGUUUACUGAUCGAGGCGGGGAGUUCACUUCUCAGCAGUUUGAAGCUUUCCUGACUGAGAAGGGAAUCCAGCAUGACUUGUCAACGCCUAGAUCGCCAUGGAUGAAUGGGCUUGCGGAGCGAGCAAAUCAAACGUUGCUGCAAGGACUGAAAACAUUGUUGCAUGAUGCCAAUCUCCCUGAGAAGUUUUGGGGGGAGUCUUUGAACUCGUUUGUUUACACUUUUAAUCGCAGGUUGUCAUCACCUAUUGGUUGUACCUCUAUGAGAAGAUGUUUGGUAAGAAACCCAACAUCAAGCACAUGAGAAUCUUUGGUUCUGACAUGUGGGUACACACCCCACAGAGCAACAAGCUUGGGAAGCGUGGGGCACAUGGUUUGUUCAUGGGGUACGAAAAGGUGCAUACAGGGUAUGGAUGACCAACUCUAAGUCCAUUAAGUUCACAAAGAGUGUUGAGUACAAUCCUAAGUGGGGGGAAAAUGUGGGAAUUUUCCAGAGUUACCCAGAGGAGGAUGAAGGUGAUGUCAAAGAAGCAGCUAAAGCUGAGGAAGCUGCUGAGGAUGAUGAUGACGAUGAUGAUCAGAGUUCGGAUUCCAGUUCAGUGGGCGGCGCUGCUGCUGAUGUCAGUGACAGUGAUGACACAGCAGACUACAAGAGCGCAAAGGCCUCAGUCAGACCAUCUGAUGCGUCUGACAAUGAACUGGAAGAACCACUGUUCACCAUUGGUCACUUUUCUCCUAAGAAGGAGGAGAUGAGUCCAGAAGACUUGCGUCUAGUACGCAGAUCUGAGAGAGCCACAAAGGGCAGACCUCCAAAGAGAUUUGCUGAUGAGUUUGCUAAGACAGCAACUGCUGUUCUUAGUAGCUCAGAGAAGGUGUGGGAACCUUCAAGCUUCAAAGAGGUUCAGGAGUUAACCUCUAAAGAUGCUGAGCCUUGGCUUAAUGCCAUGAAGGCUGAAGUUGAUUCCUUGAACAGGAACCAAACUUGGGAACUGGUACCGGUAGUCCCAGGAAUGAGACUGGUUGGCAGCAAAUGGGUCUUCAAGGCCAAGACAGACCAGAAUGGCAAGGUUGUCAGACACAAAGCCAGAUUGGUUGCCAGAGGUUUUUCACAGGUACCAGGACAGGAUUACCACGAGACCUACUCACCCACCGUCAAAUAUGAGAGCAUUCGGCUGAUGCUCAAGAUAGCUGCAGAGGAGAAACUGCAUGUUUCCCAUCAUGACAUUAAUACAGCUUUUUGUACGGGGUUCUGGGGAGGAGCUGUUUAUGCUUCCACCUGACGGGAUGCAGAUACAGAAGGGAAUGGUCUGUAAACUGCGGAAAUCCUUAUAUGGUCUCAAGCAGAGUGCCAGGUGUUGGAACACAAAGCUCACUGAGACAUUGCUUUCUCUAGGUUUUCACCAGGGCAAAGCUGAUCCGUGUGUGUUUGUCAAGGAGGAGGGGCAAAACAAACUGUAUUGUUUAUGUUUUGUUGAUGAUCUUCUGAUGUUUUGGAAGAAUCAGGCUUUCUACCAAAGCACCCUAGCUCAGCUGAAGGAGCACUUUGACAUGAAGGAUCUUGGUGAGGUAUCCAACUAUCUUUCUCUGCAGGUGGAGAAGGACCAAGCAGGUAAUUUUCUGGUACACCAAACACAGAAAAUUGCUGAUGUAUUAACCAGGUUGAAUUUGGUUGAUGCAAACCCAGCAGACACACCGAUGGUGACAGGUUACCAGGUAGACAGUACUGCUGAAGCGUUUUCUGACACAACGCUGUACAGAUGCAUUCUAGGCAAGUUGAAUUUCAUUGCUAGAUGCUCAAGACCUGACAUAGCUGUAAGCUGUAACCUGCUUAGCAGACAUGCCAACAAUCCUACUGUUCAGGAUUGGAAAGCUCUGAAGCGCAUAGCCCGCUAUCUGAAAGGGACUAUGCACUACAGGCUGAGGUUCACCAGUCAGAAGACUGGAGGUCUUGAAAUCUUUGCAGAUGCAAGUUUUGGAAGUGACACCACGGAUGGUACAAGCACUUCUGGAGUAUGCUACAUGUACAACCACUGCCUGUUUGACUGGUUGUGCAAGAAGCAGACGACAGUGAGCCUAAGUUCCUGUGAAGCAGAACUCAAUGCUCUGUCAUUUUCACUCAUGGAUUGUGAAUGGUUGAUGCAACUGUUUAAGGACAUCAGAGUUUCUGUGAAAUGUCCUGUACAAGUGUAUCAAGACAAUAGAUCGUGUUUGGCUUUGCUGAACUCGGAGAGUUGCAAGCAAAGGACCAAGUACUUGCAGAUUAAGCUACAUCGUGCAAGGGAGUGUAUUCAGAAAGGACUCAUUCAGGUGUCCUACAUGCCAGGAAAUGAAAUUCCUGCUGAUCUGUUGUCUAAGGUUGUUAACAGAGAACAACUUAAGGUUUACGUACAAAGGUUGCAAUUGGGUUGAACCACAGGUACUACAGGUUACACGGAAAGGGGGAGGAUGUUAGGAUAUUUCCGUUCCACCUUAAAGGGAGCAGGCUUUGUGAGUCAGAGUCUGCGUAUUUCCUGUUCACAGGAUGUUUAUGUUUUCUGUUGCUUUCGUUUUCUCUCUGUUGUCGCAGACACUAAAGCAGGCAGUCGUGUUUUUCUGUGUUCUGAUCAACACUGAAUAAACUUG
rnacentral:lncRNA from 1 species